ACGCUGGCGGCAGGCUUAACACAUGCAAGUCGAGCGGAAACGAUGAUAGCUUGCUCUCAGGCGUCGAGCGGCGGACGGGUGAGUAAUACUUAGGAAUCUACCUAGUAGUGGGGGAUAGCUCGGGGAAACUCGAAUUAAUACCGCAUACGUCCUACGGGAGAAAGCAGGGGAUCAUUAGACCUUGCGCUAUUAGAUGAGCCUAAGUCGGAUUAGCUAGAUGGUGGGGUAAAGGCCUACCAUGGCGACGAUCUGUAGCUGGUCUGAGAGGAUGAUCAGCCACACCGGGACUGAGACACGGCCCGGACUCCUACGGGAGGCAGCAGUGGGGAAUAUUGGACAAUGGGGGAAACCCUGAUCCAGCCAUGCCGCGUGUGUGAAGAAGGCCUUUUGGUUGUAAAGCACUUUAAGCAGUGAAGAAGACU
rnacentral:rRNA from 1 species